rnacentral:tRNA from 1 species
AUUUUUCUAAUAUAUUUAGUAUAAUUAGCUUCCAACUAAUUUGUCUGGGAUUUACCCCAGGAAAGAUA